rnacentral:lncRNA from 1 species
AAUAAUGCAAGGAAGAAAAGUCAAUGGCAAAAGAAAACAGGUGAAAACGAGGAAUUCUACACUGUCACACUUGCACCACGUCAUUAAUAACAAGUCAAUCACAUUCCUUCUUUUUAAACAAAAGUACAAUAAAAAUACUUUUUUACAAUCAUGAUGGGACAUAUAUUCUUAACAUGAUUAAUUUGAUUGGUUUGUUACGCCACGUCACUAAUAUACCCGUUGCAUUCUAGAAUUUUUCGGUGAAAACGCAGAAUAGGGUGGUGGGAUGUGAUGGGCUUGCAUUAAAGAC